rnacentral:rRNA from 1 species
GUACUGGAAAGUGCACUUGGAUUAA